rnacentral:rRNA from 1 species
AGAGUUUGAUCCUGGCUCAGAAUCAACGCUGGCGGCGUGCCUAACACAUGCAAGUCGCACGAGAAAGGGGAGCAAUCCCUGAGUAAAGUGGCGCACGGGUGAGUAACACGUGAAUCAUCUACCUCCGAGUGGGGAAUAACCUAGAGAAAUCUGGGCUAAUACCGCAUAACACUUACGAGUCAAAGCAGCAAUGCGCUUGGAGAGGAGUUCGCGGCCGAUUAGCUAGUUGGCGGGGUAAUGGCCCACCAAGGCGAUGAUCGGUAUCCGGCCUGAGAGGGCGCACGGACACACUGGAACUGAAACACGGUCCAGACUCCUACGGGAGGCAGCAGUGGGGAAUUUUGCGCAAUGGGGGAAACCCUGACGCAGCAACGCCGCGUGGAGGAUGAAAUAUCUUGGUAUGUAAACUCCUUUCGAUGGGGAAGAUUAUGACGGUACCCAUAGAAGAAGCCCCGGCUAACUUCGUGCCAGCAGCCGCGGUAAUACGAGGGGGGCAAGCGUUGUUCGGAUUUAUUGGGCGUAAAGGGUGCGUAGGCGGUUUGGCAAGUCUUGUGUGAAAUCUUCGGGCUCAACCCGAAGCCUGCACAAGAAACUGCCGGGCUUGAGUAUGGGAGAGGUGAGUGGAAUUUCCGGUGUAGCGGUGAAAUGCGUAGAUAUCGGAAGGAACACCUGUGGCGAAAGCGGCUCACUGGACCAUAACUGACGCUGAUGCACGAAAGCUAGGGGAGCAAACAGGAUUAGAUACCCUAGUAGUCC